GUUGAAACACAGAUUCUCGUGGGAUCACCAAAGUUAAGUAACGUCGAGCCUGGUCAGUACCUAGAUGAGCGACUGCUUGGGAAUACCAAGUGCUGUAA